rnacentral:rRNA from 1 species
CGGAUUGCAGGCUGCAACCCGCCUGCAUGAAGUCGGAAUCGCUAGUAAUCGCGAGUCAGCAUAUCGCGGUGAAUACGUUCCCGGGUCUUGUACACACCGCCCGUCACACCAUGGGAGUUGGCAACACCCGAAGUCGAUGAGCUAACCGUAAGGAGGCAGUCGCCUAAGGUGGGGUUGAUAACUGGGGUGAAGUCGUAACAAGGUAGC